rnacentral:lncRNA from 1 species
CUCUUCCUCCCGAGCCUUUGCGGCGGAGCUUCGGUCGCGUUGAGCCGCGCCUCCUCUUCCUCCUCCACGCUGCCCUCGACAGGCCGCGCCACUUCCUGGGGUGCGAAGGGACUCGGGUGCGAGCCUGGGCCUGCAGCGCGGCGGCGGAGAGAACGGAGAGGACAGCUGGCGGGUGGUUAUCUGGAGUGGUUUGGGGCCGCGGCGGCGUUCUGGCCAGUGGGCCUUGGUGGGCUAGGAAGAGAGGCAGAAAAAGGUUACCCAGGAAACGGGCUUCGACGCCGGGCGAGGAGUGGCACGUUCGAAACCCCCUCCCUAACUCAGCCCGGCUGGACCCCGCUGCUUAACGGGGGGUCCUGCGGCAAAGAAAGUGGACGGGUUGCCACUUCUGUGCCUCCCCAUCAGGGGUUGGGAAACUAGUUUCCAUGGCCAAACCUAGCCCACCGUCUGUUUUGGUGUCCAUGGAUUGGCGGGGACAGCUCUGCUUAAGGAUGUAGUAGCUCUGCAGGUUGGCUAGUUUCCUGUUCUUCCCAACCUGCGCUAUGGACUUCAUCAGAUUUCAGCAUCAGAGAGAAUAUGGAAGGACAUCGACCCUAACUUCAUCCAGUGAGGAUUUCCACACACCAUACACUCUCUGAGAGUUCUCUUGGCUUUGUGUGCACACCUCCAGUGACAGGGAGCUCGCUAUGUCAUGAGGCAGCCUGCUCCCUUGUGGCUAUCACUGAACCAACUAUUAAGCCUUCUUAUACAAACAGUCCCUGACUUACUGUUAGACUUACAACUUUUUGAUUUUACAGUGGUGCAAAAGCAAUAUGCAUUCCAUAGAAACUGUAUUUCAAAUUUUGAAUUUUGAUCUUUUCCAGGCUAGCAACAUAUGAAGACCAACCUUCUAUUUUUAAAAUAGGCUUUGUGUUAGAUGCUUUUGCCCAACUAUAGGUUAAUGUAAAUGUUCUGAGAAUAUUUGAGGAAGGCUAGGCUAAACUGUGAUCUUUGGGAGCUUAGAUAUGUUAAGUGCAUUUUCAACUUACAAUAUUUUCAACUUACGAUGAGUUUAUUGGGAUGAAGCCCGUUGUAAGUAAAGGAGCAUCUGCAUUAAGCUAAAAUCCAUGUCUAUAACUUCCUCAGUAAUAUCAAGUUUGUUCCUUGGAGCCAGAGAAUAAACUGAAUCCUUUUCCACGUGAUGGUCUUUCUGUUGUUUAAAGAGAUCAGCCAUGUACCUUCUCCCAACCUGAAGACAACUCCUCACCAGGCUACCUAUCAAUUCUACCUCUUUUUUUAAGAGAUGGGGUCUCACUAUGUUGCCCAGCCUGGUCUUGAACUCUGGGCUCAAGUGAUCCUCCCACCUCAGCCUUCCGAGUAGCCAGGAUUACAGGCACACACCACCAUGCCCAGCUCCAUUUCCAUUGUUCUUCAUGCUUCCUUAUUGAGUUCCUUCCCUGUCCCGAUUAUUCGUCUUUGAUUGGGCUUUGACUACCUGGGCAUUUAGUAGGGUCCAUAACUGAAUGCAGCAUUCCAGCCGGGGUCUAAGCAACAGAAUAGAGCAGGACCAUCAUCUCCGCAAUUUCCAAUAUCAUACUUUCAUCAAUGUCUUCCGAAACAACAUUCACUUUUUUAUGUUCAUGUUAAACUAAAAGACAGGGCUGAAGGCAGCAUCCUGGAACAGUGGAAACAUUCCUAUAAGUUGACUUGAAUCCUUUAAAUAAAGUC